GACAGAGGGGGCAAGCGUUGCUCGGAAUUACUGGGCGUAAAGGGCGCGUAGGCGGGAUGGCAAGUCGGUCGUGAAAUCCCUCGGCUCAACCGAGGAACGUCGAUCGAUACUGCUGUUCUUGAGGAUUGCAGAGGAGACUGGAAUUCCCGGUGUAGCGGUGAAAUGUGUAGAGAUCGGGAGGAACACCGGUGGCGAAGGCGGGUCUCUGGGCAAUUCCUGACGCUGAGGCGCGAAAGUGUGGGGAGCGAACAGG
rnacentral:rRNA from 1 species